rnacentral:rRNA from 1 species
GAUGAACGCUAGCGGAAGGCCUAAUACAUGCAAGUCGAACGCGUCCUAAGGGCAACUUUAGGAUGAGUGGCGAACGGGUGAGUAUCACGUGGGUAAUCUUCCUUUAAGUGGGGAAUAAGCUCUCGAAAGGGAGUCUAAUACCGCAUGACAUUCCGGGACACAAGUCCCGUAAUCAAAGCCGCAAGGCGCUUGAAGAUGAGCCUGCGUCCUAUUAGCUAGUUGGUGGGGUAACGGCCUACCAAGGCUCAGAUGGGUAGCCGGCCUGAGAGGGUGAACGGCCACACUGGGACUGAGACACGGCCCAGACUCCUACGGGAGGCAGCAGUGAGGAAUUUUGCGCAAUGGGGGAAACCCUGACGCAGCGACGCCGCGUGGAGGAUGAAGGCCUUCGGGUCGUAAACUCCUGUCAGAGGUGAAGAAUGCCCGCAAGGGUUUGACGGUAACCUCCAGAGGAAGCCCCGGCUAACCUACGUG